rnacentral:rRNA from 1 species
AUUGAACGCUGGCGGCAUGCUUUACACAUGCAAGUCGAACGGUAACAGCACUUCGGUGGCUGACGAGUGGCGAACGGGUGAGUAAUACAUCGGAACGUGCCUAGUAGUGGGGGAUAACUACUCGAAAGAGUAGCUAAUACCGCAUGAGAUCUAAGGAUGAAAGCAGGGGACCUUCGGGCCUUGCGCUACUAGAGCGGCUGAUGGCAGAUUAGGUAGGUGGUGGGAUAAAAGCUUACCAAGCCGACGAUCUGUAGCUGGUCUGAUAGGACGACCAGCCACACAGGGACUAUGACUCAGCCCAGACUCCUACGGGAGGCAACAGUGGGGAAUUUUGGACAAUUGGCGCAAGCCUGAUCCAACAAUGCCGCGUUCAGUAUGAUGGCCUUCAGGUUGUAAACUGCUUGUGUACGGAACGAAAAGCCCGCUGCUAGUGCAGGAGGUUCAUGACGGUACCGUAAGAGUAAGCACCGGCUAUCUACGGG